CAGCGAACAUUUGUAAGCGACACGAAAUAAUUGAGGUGAAAAGCUUGCCAAGAAGCUGUGUACACAGUGUUCUUGCGAGUUACAAUUACGCGUCCGGUUUGGCGGCAACUUCAAAGAGUGGACAUAUGGUUGCUCCUUCAGGUAGCUAUAAUUACCCUCUCUAUAAUGCAAUAUCGUAUUAUCCAUUUGUAAUGAAUGAUAGUAACACUUAAUCGGAUUGGAUUCAGUUAAAUCUACAUUUCUCAAGGUCUCUAACAUCGAGAUUUGAAAUAUCUUUCAUGUAAAUACCUUCUUUGUCAUGUGACUUGUAUAUAAUCAUGUAUAUUCAGAAUCGUACCUUCGCACAAUGUCUUUGCACAAUGGCACAAGCAACGUGUUCUCUUUCUGUAAAAAAUAGCACUCUUUAUUUCAGCCACAGCAAAGAUCCCGAACCACGUGCAGUCAGCAGAGUUACAGCGUCUGGUUACCGUCUUGCAGUUACGAUACAGAAUAUGUGCACAUAGCUUUCAAUGACCAGACGCAAAAAAGGAUUCAUUUCAAGUAUGUUGAGAAGAAAACGACCCAUCACUGAAAAAAUCAUCUCACCCAAGAAAUGAGAAUGAAAAGUGCAAAGUCUCCCAAGGAAUUGUCUUGUAAUAAAGCAUGUGAAUAAAUAAUUUUUUGAAAUA